rnacentral:lncRNA from 1 species
GUGGGCGCGAGGUUGCCGGGGGGGGGAUGAGGAGGUGCGUACCGCAUGGGGGAGGGGACAGUCUCGGGUGAGAUCACCACGGAGCGGCUUAGCGCGGCGCACAAGUCUCGCGAGAGAAGCGGCGGCUGGGCCCUGCAGGCGGAGGAAGUGGAAAAAGUCGCGGGAGGGUAGGGGACCGCGGAACUUCUGGUUGCUAUGACGACGGCAAAGCCCUGGAUUCCUGUCUCCUGCGGAGAGCAGAGGCUGCAAACGGCAUUCAAGCAGCCCUGAGGAGAGGUCCACAUGGUGAGCCACUGAGGGCCUUGCCAAGAGCCAGCACCAACGGUCCAGGUUUGGAGUGUACCACCUUGGAAGUGAAUCUUCCAGUCCAGUCAAGCCUUCAGAUGACUUCAGAACCGUCCAUGUAAGCCACUCUUGGAUUCCUGACCCACAGAAACUGUUGGAGUAAGUGAUGUUUCUGAAGCACCAAUGAAAAUGAAGUCCUGAAGUCCUGUGCUCAAUAUGAAAUGUUGGAAGUUAGAAGAAAAAAACAAAACUUGGAUCCAAUCUCAAGGCACUUUUUGUUUAAUGGGAAGAAGUGGAUUAUUUUAAAAGCUACAAAUAAAGUUACAUAAAAGUAGCAAA